AUGAUCUUUCCUUUGGUAGUGAAACAACUGGAUUUGAUUUGAUGUGCUAAGCAUUUGAGAAGGAUUUAAUGCUUGCGGCAGGAUUUUAGUAUUUAAGAUUUAUACUUGAAUUAGAUAUUCAAUACAUUUAGAGUGAAUGGGACAUGAUUUAAUACACUUGCAUCCUGUGCAUAAAUUUGAAUCAUUCUUCAAUUGGACAUGAAACUAUCUGUAGUUAAUAAAACAUUUGCAGUUAAUCUAAUUGUUUACUGAGGGGUUUCCUCAGUAUUUUCAAAGAUUUUCAUUCAUUAGAAUUGUAUAUUCAGCGAGAAACACAGCAAUGAAUGGUGCGUAGAUUUGUUCUUACAGGUGGCCUUGAUAAUAUUUGGAAUUUACAUAUCUUCCUAAUAUUUUAAACAACUUUGAGCCCUGUUUACCAAUAGAUCUGUAUGGCUCAACCUCACAACUUACAUUGUUUGAAAAUCUACAAGUGGAUAGAAGUUUUAAUGUCAUCUGUAAAAAGAAGAUAUUUUCUCAAGCAAUUUUUAAAAAAAUAUUCCUUGUAGUAUAUAAUCUAAAAUGCAAAUUGUCAAAACUGUAGCUUAAAUAGGAGCGAGCGUGAGAGUUUUGAAACAAUGUUUUCUACCAUGCAUUUUGUAUUUGUAGUUCUGUAAGUCAACUAUUGUGUAAUUUACAUUUGCUGCUUUAUAAUAUGCUGUGUUCUGUUGAAAUCCUAAAGCUAUACUCUAUUACAUAUAGCAGCCCUUCAUGACCACCGACACAUCAUUCAGCUGCUGAUCAACACAUACACCACAGGUCCCAGUGAUUAUUGAUCCUCCAUCUGUUUCUUGAUUAAAUCAGUACGAAUAAUAUUAAUUUUUGCAUCAACUGAUGGCUCAAAUUUUUGCUGCACGUUUUAGUGUGGCAUUGAACCAUAAGGUCCGGGGUUCAUGCUGAAUUAUUCCAUUGUGGACUGGCUGGAGAAUGAGUUUUACCAUCUCAUUGGCAAGGCAGGAAAAGACGAUCAACUGAUCUGCCCUCUUCUGACUUCAAUUCAGAGACUGUUGUUGAAAUACGUGCUGAUGUGUUAACUCAAUGUGGACAAGAUUGGACAUGAGGAGCAUACAAAAAGAUAUUGAUAGGUCACUGAGUGGGCUAAAAUGUGGCAAGAGUAACAUGGGAAAAUGUGGAUUUGUCCAAAUUCAUGGGAUGAAUGAAAAAGAAGCAUGCUAGUUAAAUGGUGAGAGAUUGCAGAGUUCUGAGUUGCAGAGGGAACUGGGUGUCUAAGUGCAUGCAUCACUGAAGGUUAGUCUGUAGAUAUAGCAAGUAAUUAGGAAAUGCAGUAGACUUAUCAUUGAUUGGAGGGGAAUUGAAUAUUAUGUAUGGAGCUUGUAUUUUAGUUACAUGCAUCUAGAGUACAGUGCCACCUGGUCUAAGGAAAGUUGUAAAUGUAUUAAAGGCAGUUGUAAGAAUGUGUACUUGACUAGUACCUGACAAGGUACAUAUAGAAAUGGUGCACCUAGAGUCACUAUUUACAAAUCAGGACUCACCAUUUAAAAAAGAUUAGACAUUUUUUCUCUCAGAGCAUCUUGCUGAAAAAGAUGGUGGAAGGAGCAUCUUUGAAUAUUUUCAAGGUAGAAGCAGAUAGAUUCUUGUUAAGCAAGGGGUUCAAGUGUUAUCAGGGAUAGAUGGGAAUGUGGAUUUAGCUAUAUCAUAUCAUCCGUGCUUUUUAUUGAAUGCAAACAUGAGGGGCUGAAUGGCCUACUACUCCUUCUGAUUUGUUUGUUUGUGUGCUUAUUAAUUUGUAUGGUUGUGAUGUCCAUAUAAUUGAAUGGUCUGCCAUUCCCCUCAAUCUAGACUCAUAUAUGAAAAAUGCCUGUCAGAAUGUUACAAGACGAAGCUUUCACUCACAUGAUGCCAUGCUUUACAGCAGUCAGGAUAGUCAAGAUGCAUAAAAGGGACAGAAAAGAGAUGGUAGCCCAUGGAGUGUCUGAGUGAGACCCAAUCCAUAGGUGUAUUUUUACACCUCAAAUAAAAAUGGAAAUUCAGAGGAUAAAUCAUUCUGUAUUGACUUUGUGCAUCUCUUAGCAGAUACCUCAAGAUUGGAUGCAAUUCACCAGAGGUCCACGAAUAAAACUGUUUUUGCUGUAGAACUUAAUGACAGUAAUUGAUAAGUAUUGUUCAACCUGUGCCACUAUAAAGGAUAGAGUUUGCUAUAAAGCACUUCAUCUGCACAUGCACAUAUGUAUCAAUUAUUUUUUCUUCCUUUAGUUUUAAAUAUCAAAGUAUUUUACUUUUACCAACUCCCUUGGAAAGAAACCGGAAUUAUAUUGACAGAAAAUUCUAUGCAGAAAUAUUGAAUACCACAACUAUUGAACUAGUGAACUAUCAAUGUAAGUCAGUUGGAUUCUCUCCACUGACAGAUUAAGUAGUCAAGCCGUUAUUCAAUAUUUAAAAUAAUCAGCACUUCUCUGCUCCCAUUUCUGUUCCUUUGUACAGAAUGUUAUUCUAUAUUACAUUAAAAAAACCUUUA